AGAGUUUGAUCCUGGCUCAGGAUGAACGCUGGCGGCGUGCCUAACACAUGCAAGUCGAACGAAGACUGUGUGACGGAACUCUCCGGAGGGAAGACGCGCAGGACUGAGUGGCGGACGGGUGAGUAACGCGUGGGUAACCUGCCCUGUACAGGGGGACAACAGCUGGAAACGGCUGCUAAUACCGCAUAAGCCUACAGUACCGCAUGGUACAGCAGGAAAAACUCCGGUGGUACAGGAUGGGCCCGCGUCUGAUUAGUUAGUUGGCAGGGUAACGGCCUACCAAGACAACGAUCAGUAGCCGGCUUGAGAGAGUGAACGGCCACAUUGGGACUGAGACACGGCCCAAACUCCUACGGGAGGCAGCAGUGGGGAAUAUUGCACAAUGGGGGAAACCCUGAUGCAGCAACGCCGCGUGAGUGAAGAAGUAUUUCGGUAUGUAAAGCUCUAUCAGCAGGGAAGAAAAUGACGGUACCUGACUAAGAAGCUCCGGCUAAAUACGUG
rnacentral:rRNA from 1 species